AGAUCUCACAAAGCUGAGAGGAGCCCACUGC
rnacentral:piRNA from 1 species